UUCUUUUAGAUAUAAAAUAAAAGUAUCCUCUGCUCAAUGAAUUUAAAUAGCAGCAGUUUUCUGUUCUAAGGUAGCAUAAUCAAUUGUCUUAUUAAUUGUAGACUAGAAUGAAGGAGGGAAUAUUUAAUAACUUUAUUUUCAAAAAUAUUUAAAAUUAAAUUUUUAGUUAAAAUGCUAAAAUUAAAUAUAGGGACAAGAAGACCCUAAAAGCUUUAGAAAAAAAAUAUUAUAAAAAUAUUAAAAAUUUCUUAAAUUGGGGCAAUAUAUUAUUUUGAAAAAUAUAAUAAUGAAUUAAAAAAAAAUAAGAAAGAUCCUUUAUAUUAAAGAAAAUUUGAAAAAGUUACUUUAGGGAUAACAGGAUAAUUUUUAUUUAAAAGUUCAAAUUUAAAAUUUAGAUUAUUACCUCGAUGUUGAAUUAAUAUAAUUAU
rnacentral:rRNA from 1 species